rnacentral:rRNA from 1 species
AUGAACGCUAGCGGCAGGCCUAAUACAUGCAAGUCGAACGAUACUCUUUAGCUUGCUAUAGAGGAAAGUGGCGCACGGGUGCGUAACGCGUAUGCAACCUACCUUAAUCAGGGGGAUAGCCCGAAGAAAUUCGGAUUAACACCGCAUAAAAACACAGGAUAGCAUUAUCCAAUGUUCAAAUAUUUAUAGGAUUAAGAUGGGCAUGCGUGUCAUUAGCUAGUUGGCGGGGUAACGGCCCACCAAGGCGACGAUGACUAGGGGAUCUGAGAGGAUGACCCCCCACACUGGUACUGAGACACGGACCAGACUCCUACGGGAGGCAGCAGUAAGGAAUAUUGGUCAAUGGAGGCAACUCUGAACCAGCCAUGCCGCGUGCAGGAAGACAGCCCUCUGGGUCGUAAACUGCUUUUAUUCGGGAAUAAACCUAUUUACGUGUAAAUAGCUGAAUGUACCGAAGGAAUAAGGAUCGGCUAACUCCGU